rnacentral:lncRNA from 1 species
GCCUCCCGAUUAGCUGGGACUACAAGCGCCCGCCACCACGCCCGGUUAAUUUUUCCUAUUUUUUAGUAGAAACGCGGUUUCACCCUGUCAGCCUGGAUGGCCUCGAUAUCCUGACCUCAUGAUCCACCCGCCUCAGCCUCCCAAAGUGCUGGGAUUACAGGCGUGAGCCACCCUGCCCAGCCUUUUCAAAGCCUUUAAUAAGAAAAUGUUUCCUGUGAGUAAAUCUCAGGGUAGUGUUUUGGUGGGGAGGAUGCCUCCAAGAGAUGGGGAUGUGGAGCCAGGAUGAGUGACAGAAAGCCUGGAAUCUACCUUUCUUAGACUCACUUACUAGCAGUUACUGGUUUAGGUUUUGCCAGUGAGAAACUCGUGUGUGAGACUUGGAAGGUGAACAAGAAGAAGAAGCCAUUGAUCUUCAGUGGGAGCUGCAGGCAGCUAUAUGGGCAUUGGAGAUGGCAGUGAACACAUGUUAAGUACUGUCAGUAGAGGAUGCAGGAGAGACAUUGAGAGAGGAUGAAGGAUUCUUCUAAUUCUGUACACCUGCCAAAGUCUCACCUCAGCUGCCUGCCUAGAAAGGCUGCUUCCCAUGACCCUCUCUACCUGAAGACCACAUGUUCUAAUUCUCAUGCAAAAGCCCCAUCCUCACUCCCUCUUUAUACAUUCACUUAUGAACUGUGGCUCUCUGCCACCUCAUUUCCUGCUUGCCCAGCGACCAUGGACCAGCUCUGAUCUGAGUGUCCUAGGAAACUUCUCUGGAGGUUGCAACUACACCUUCUCCAACAAGACCUGAACCCCACCUUGGAAUCCCCACUUCAACCUUGUCCUUCAUUGCAUCAUUUCCCUGAGCCCUAGGCUAACCAGCAGAGUUCUCUUUACAUCCUUAUAUUUACUUCCCUGCCAUAUUUAAUAAUUCUUUACAUUAAAAAGUUCCUGUUCAAAUUACUAUGAUUUCUUUUUCCUGAUUGAAUUUAGAUGGAUAUAUCCUCUUCAUAAUAAAUUCCAUUUCUCUUGGACUAAUUUGAAUGAAUGUCUGUUUCUUUUGAUCACGAAAACUGGCUACAAAUAGGCAGGACACAACAACUGAGUUUCCUCUGUUUGAGAUUCUUGCCCUUGUCCUUUGACUCUCACAGAAUUUUAUGAAAUUGACCUCAGUGCCUACAACUGACUGCACAUGACAAAAUGCAGAACACUUAGAUUUGAUGAACACAAGGCUUGACAUAUUUGUCAAUAGUACCAGGAAUAGUUUUGCAUACUAUAAUAUUUAACAGCCACAGGAGAA